rnacentral:rRNA from 1 species
GUCGUAACAAGGCCUUCCGUAGGUGAACCUGCGGAAGGAUCAUUA